rnacentral:snRNA from 1 species
AGACUGGCAGGGGAGACACCAUGAUCAGGCAGGUGGUUUUCCUAGGGCGAGGCUCAUCCCCUGCACUCCAGGUGUGCUGACCCCUGCGAUUUCCCCAAAUGCGGGAAACUUGACUGCAUAAUUUGUGGUAGUGGGGGACUGCAUUCAUGCUUUUAUUUU